UCUGCUGCCAUCGGAACCGGCCGCGUGCCCCGGCACUGCCCCAGCACUGGCACCGGGACGGCGACCGGGGCUGCGACUGAUUCUGAGAUCGGCACCGGGCUCGACAGCGGGACUGGGAAUGGGACUGGCACUGGCACCGAGACAGCUAUCGGCACCGCCACGGCCAUGGGAACUGGGAUCGACACUGGGACUGGGACUGACUCCGGGACUGGCACCGACACGAGGACGGGGAUCGGCAGCGGAACUAGGAACGGGACCGGCACUGGAACCGAAACCGGAAGCGGCACCAGGACUCGGACCUAGACAGGGACUGGGACCGGCCCCGGCACCGAGAUUGGCACUGGGACCGGAAUUGCCAUCGGGAUCGGGACUGCGACCAAGACCGACGCUGGGAUAGGUAUCGGGUCGGGGAUAGGAACCGGGGAUAGGUCACCGGGGGCAGCACCAGGACUGGAGCCUCCCUGCCCAGAGCACCCCGUUCCCGCAGCCCGGUGCCUUCCUCUUUCCCAUCCCCUUGAAACAGCCGGUCCCGGGGGCACCUCCCUCCCCGGGAGCCCCAGGAAGGGCCUGGAGGGGCAGGUGUGGAUCGAGGGGAACCCUGGGUGGGGCCUGAAGGAAACUCUCUUCCCUGGAGCAGUGCUGGGAGUGGGGCAAAGAUGGCCUCAUGCCCUUGGAGGAGCCCUUCAGAAAAUGAUGAAGGCCCCAAGGGACCACUUGAAGUGGUCCCUGAAGGCGAUUUGUGGGGAGCACUGGGGCCAAAAGGUCCAAGGGGCUACUGACUGCUCAGGGCAGCCCCAGGGAGGGCCAAAGGAUACCUCAAAGAGUGCUUGUUCCCUCGUAGCCAUCCCUGGGGGAGGCUGUGGUGAGUCCAGCCUGUGGAACUGGAAACACUUGCAGAAGAGAUCUCAGACCAGCAGGACGUGUCAUGGGAGAGAUGUUUCAAGCCCCUGUACUUGCUUCUCCUGAUGUAUGUGUAAACAGUUUGAGGAUUUCAGCUGAAUCCUCACUCAUUUGGUCGGGGUCCGUGGGUGUUUGAGUUGCUUGAAGCAGCAGACUUGGCUCCCUCGUCAUGGGCUGUUGGGCUUCGCCUGCUCCGUGGAGCCCCUGAGAGGGCUGGUGGGAUCUCGGGAUCUUCCCAGGCAGGGCGAGUGCCUGUUCUGCUCCUGGCAGGCGUUUGCCUGAGCUGUUCCUCCCUGGCACACCCAGUGCUGAGCUCCGGAGGUCACCGAGCACCUCCCUCACACCCCGCGGCCAGAAACGCUCCCGAGUCUUGGCCUGGGAGAUCAGGUACCUCCCUUCCUUUUCGCAGGAUUGCUUCUCAGCAGCAUCACAGCUGUGACACUUUCUCUGUGCCCAUGUCCCUACUCUGUGCCCUCAUCUCUUCUCUCUGCCCACGUCCUCUCCCUGUGACCGUGUUCCUUCUCCAUGCCCACCUCUUCUGCCCCGUUUCCAGUGGCUCCCGGAGGAUGACUCCAAACUGAUGCAGAGCUGUCCAAAUCCAGCUCCUCAGUGACAUCUUGUGCUGGGAAUGCUCAGCGCAGGCUGGGAAAAAGUUCCUGCAAUUGUUUUUUCCUGCCCUCUGACAUUGCUGUAGUGAAACCACGGGGAUUCCCUGAGCUCAUUUGUAAGGUUUUCUUUGGGAACAUCUUGUCCUUCCGUGGAGACAGCCAGACAGUGGUAUUGCCUUUGACAGAGCUGGGUACAAAGCUCUGGAAAAGCAUCCACUUCCUUCAAAACAUUCCCUGUGCUCUUUUGUACCAUUUAGACAAUAAUAAUAAUUCACCCAAAGUUCCUCACUGUGAUGAGACUGCACAUAUGAAUUCUUGGGAUGCAAUUCAAACCUUGUUUCUCAGCCAAUUGCCAGAGAGAAAAUUCCCUUCAAAGGCUCUAAUGGCACCAGUCACCCCUGGGAAACACUUGCCUGGUCUUAACAGGGAAAGCUUCCAAGUGCUGCCUGCUGUGCCAGCAGAGCUGCAGCCCUGCAGCAUCCAGAUGAGUGCAAAACCAGGUCUGAGUUUCUGAAGAAACUUUACUUUCAGACUCAAACUCAGAAAUGAAAUGUUAAAAAGCCACUUUUUGAUGGAAGUAAAAUCUGAUGGGGUUUCUUUCAGGGUGGUAGUACCUGAAGCAGAGGACAUCCCUGAGCUGGCAGCCCUGCCAGUGGCAGGGAGACCAACAAGGGAUGCUCCAGACUGCUGUGGAGACUGUACCAAGCCUUUGUGGGUCACCGUGGCCUUGCAGAGCACUGACCCCCAGCUCCCAAUACCCUUUGGCUAUAACACUAUACCCUCGAGGCCACUGUCCCCAUCCCCACCAUGCCCAGGCACCUGCUCAUGGUGGCUGCAGCUGGCAUGGGAAGCUCAGUCAGCCCGUGGCUGGAACACACAUCACAGACACAACCAUGCUGCUAUAUCACACGUGGGGAACAUGGCUGAGGCUGGAAAACACACAUUCAAGUAUUUCCUUGGGCACUCUCGUCAUGAUGGGAAUAAAUCCAGGAGAAGCUGUUAUGGAUGGCUUGAGAAGCUGUAAAAUGUGAAGAAACAUUUAAAUAUGAGACAAACGGGUGAGGAGGGAAUUUGGCACAGGAGGAGAUGCAGUUCAGAAGUGGAGGCCAUACCAUGCAUAUUUCAUGGGCUAGCCCUCAGCAGAGGCUUCUUUGACACCACAAACAUCACAUAUGGCAAGGAGCAACAGCAGCCACUCCCAGCAUCUGGGAAGGACAAACUGUGGGGUGAUUGCUCCUCCUGCCUUAUGGUAGAAGUAGGCCAAAGCACAGGACCUGGAAACUGCUGGCUCUGCUUCUUGAGUGUGGGACGAGCCUUCCUCACCUUCCUCUUCCUUCAGCCCUGUGCCAGGCUAGGGGCAAGCCUGCCCCAUCCUUGGGGCUGGGGCUCUGACCUUGCUGUCUCACAUAAAUAAACACUCAGGGAUGGAAAAUUUCAAGCCCUCCAGCCCUGCUGCCCCACCACUCUGUGCUUCCAGCAUUGCUCCUCUGAGGUUUCCUUGGAGAAUGCUGACUCAGGUCCUUCUCUGUUAGGUGUUUCUCACUGAUCACAUGCCUGAUUUGUGCCCAGCACCUGUGCUACCAAAUCAUUCCCACUGCAGGCCAGCAUGCAGGAGGGACACCUGCACUGUGUGGGAGCAGAAUGGAUCCUCAGCUGUUAUCAGGCUCUAUCAUAGGUACCCCUUGGAGCAGCAGGUGCUGGGGUGGCAGGAGCUGGGUGGGCCAGAGUCUGACAUGGAUCCACUGAAAAAACCCAAGAGAAGGUGGACUUGAGGAUGGCGCUUCCCAAAUUGCAGCCAUGUAUGGGUUCUCAUCUUGUAGGGGGUUAUUUUUCUUCACAAGAGACUUCAUCUCCCUCUGUGCAACUCUUCAGGGAGAAUUCCACAUCCACUACUGUCCCCUCUGAGGGGAGGGAUAGACCCCUGUGGGGUGCACAGGAACCCCCAGCCUUAGGAUGGGAGUGUUUGGAUGAGUUGCUACUCUCAGACCCUCCCAAGCUCCCUGUCAGCCUCAGUGUCACCCUCCUGGGGAUCACUCUGACUUGUGCCACAUUAUGGACCACAUUUGAGCAGCAGGAUGGAGGAACCAGCCUUCCUUCUCACAGCUGGGGAACCAGGGAACUGCAUCCUUCCCCUUGCACUUGGUGCUGCAGAGGUUGGCCCUGGGAGGUUCAGCUGCUCCAGCAGGAUUAGGGGUGAUCCCCAUCCAGUGUGGUACAGGCAGGUGAGGCUGCAGCACUUGGUGUCCUGCCUCUGUGAGACCAGAAUAGGAGUUUUGGGAACUUGCUGGUCACCUGGGGAAUCACAGGGUGGGAGCUCCAGCUCCUGGGGCAUUCCUUUGGAUUGGGGUCCCUGGAGAGAGCAGCUGAGCACUGCCACAGACCCGGCAGAGGAAAGAUGCUGGGUGGCUCCUCUUGCAGCUAAUCUCCUGGCCAGCCCAGACCUUGCUUUCCCAGCAUGGCUGGGAUUUUGAAAGCUGGGCUGUGUUCUGAUCCCUGGAAUUUUCGACUUGCAUCCCAAUGAUUUUUGGUGAAUUGCUUGCAGCCCAAGAAAUAAAUAUCCUCUUGAUUCUUCCUGUGAGUUCCUGGGUGGGGCUCAGCAGCCAUGUGAAAAUACCCAGGUGAAUUUCCAUAAAGGUCAAUGCUGUUAAAAAAAUAAAUUGCCUCUGAAAGGGAACCUAGGAGAUACCCAAGGCAGGGAAAGACACAUCAGACUUACCACAUCAGUUAAUUAUAUUUUUUUGCAGAGAGUCCUUCGUUUUUCCAUCCACUGGAAGAAGGGGGUCAUGUGAGAUUUCUACAAGUGUGCUUGGGGGAAAAGGAACAUCAGUGGAGACCUGAAACAAUUUUGCUGCUCUUACAGCUGAGAAAAGAUCACGCUGGGAGGUUUCUGUGGAAGUGGGGCCUGGGGAAUGGACAUGAGAAACUAUUUUUUCCCAGCUGACUCCCUUGGCGGGCCAAAGUAAUUUCCUCUCAUUAGAGCUGCUGAUACAGCUGGAAAAAGUGAGCUGUCUCUCCAAAGCCUCAUCUUCCAGUGAAGGGCAGCAUCCCCCCAGCAGAUCUCGGGGUGUUUGCCUGCCCCAGCUUCUUGUCCUUCUGGCUAUGGCUCUUUGCACUGAAAAUUGGAAAGAAAAAUACUCAAGGAUGGAAAAUUUCAAGCUUUGGUAAAGUUGGACAGAAUCCAGGUGAGACUUGGCAGAGAGACCCAGCAAAGGUUUUUCCUUGUGCUGACAUUUUUGCUCUGUGCUCUGGAGAGCCUCUCUGCAGCUCUGCUCCAGCCAGGUCAGGCUCUGCCAGUGUAAGAGGUGAUGUUAACACCACCACGUGACUUUCUCUGGGUUUUCCUAAUUAUUUAUUUUUUUUAUUGUCUCUGGAGCUGUGGAUAUUUCAGAAGCAGACACUGCAGUGGUUUUACAUCCUGUGGGGAUGGCUGUCCCGUCAGCCCACCCCACUCCCAGAGGUGGCCCAGAGGCUUUGAUCCUCUGGCUGCUUGUCCACAGCAGACACUGCACAUUGUGGUAGCACCAGAACAACCUGACGCAGCCCAGAUAAAUCACCUGAUGGAAAUAAGGAGCUGGGAUUUUGUUGCAAACUCUGGUUACUGGUAACCAAAAGCAAAGAAUUACUCUGUAUCUGUGUGUUGCUGGCUGGCUCUGGGAUGCACAUGAGGAUGAACUGGGGACGUGCUGUAGACUGCUGUGACUCCAUCUCCCUUCUGUGAAUUCUUCCACCCAUACCUUGCCAGAGGAUGCCAACCCAUCCCUGCACAGUUUGAGGAGCUCUGCAGAAGGACCUUCAUGGGCUGUCCUGAGUCCUGGGCUCCUCUACACCAGGAAGGACUGGCACUCCUUGUGGACCCCAGGAGUCACUGAGAAAGUCCCCAAGUGCUGAGGUCAAAGGCCUCAAAUUUCACCUGUGGAGAAACAAGGAGGUUAUAUCUGAGUCAUUCCAAAGUUGAAACAAUUUUUGUUUGUCUUUAUGCUCCAGGCAUUUUAUUUAUUUAUUUAUUUAUUUAUUUAUUUA